GCCCGCGUAGCUUAAUGGAAAAGCAUCUCCGUCCUAAGGAGAGGAUAGGGGUUCGAUUCCCUUCGCGGGUA
rnacentral:tRNA from 1 species